CGUGUAGGCGGCUUGACAAGUCAGAUGUGAAAUCCCUGGGCUUAACCCAGGAAGUGCAUUUGAAACUGUCAGGCUAGAGUAAGGGAGAGGAAAGUGAAAUUCCUGGUGUAGAGGUGAAAUUCGUAGAUAUCAGGAGGAACACCGGUGGCGAAGGCGACUUUCUGGCCCUAUACUGACGCUGAGACGCGAAAGCGUGGGUAGCAAACA
rnacentral:rRNA from 1 species